CGAGAGGCCAAAGGUGAGAAGAGAUCAGGAGGGAAGACAAACGGACCUGAAGCUCCGGAGAGGUUUUAACCUGCAGAGAGUGUUGGAUCAACUCUUUAAAGAAGGAUCGUCUACAUGCAGCUACUGUCUGAAUCCUCCACUACAACAAAAGGCUUGUACAGUCUGCAGUGAUCAAUGAUCCGGAUCUGCGUGCAGAGGGAAACAGGUGGUCAGUCGGCGUCAGAAUGAGGCUCUGUGAUGAAUGUGAGGAUUUAAACCCUGCAGACGAGCAGGCAGCAGAGUCUGCAGCCUCCAGCUGCUGCAGAAACAGCCAGCGGCUCAACCUGUCGCCUCUCAGCCGUCAGCUCCUGCCUGCACAUGGUGACAAACACAUCAGCAGAGUGGAGUUCACAACCGUCAUUUAUCUGCUGAUGACACAGGAUCAAUCUGCAGAGCUCAUCGAUUUCACCUUCGGCUUGGAGCCUUCAGUCUCAAAACUUGUGUGCGUGAGGACGAGCAGUAAAGGAUAUCCUCCACAUUUCUAGAUUCAGUCCUGAACUGUUACGACGCCGUUAAAAGGAACAAAUCCUGGAUGAGUGGCCGCUGGAGGGGCAGCGUCAGAUUAGAAGUGAGCUUCAUGAGUCUCGUCUACAAGUUGGACAUCUGCUCGUCUGUCGGGAGCUCUACCUGUGAAUAAUCUGCCUUCCUGUGACAAAAGGUCCAAUUCAGCAGCACAACGCUGGUCAUUAAAUCAUGUCAGGGAGCGAGAACAGUCACAUGUGGCAUCAACUUUGUUUGUGCAGCUCACAGCCUGUAAAAUCCAAACUGAGCUUUAAUCACGUCUGAAUGUUUUUAAGAUUGAUAACUUCCUCUGCCAAGGACGUCAGUCCACCAGACUGGGAUGGAGGAUGAGUCUCGGCCCAGAAUAGACCCGUUAACUUUUAAUGAGGAUCCAGAUAAAGAGACGGAUUCAGGAACUUGUUCUCACUGAGAAGCUCGUCUGAAGUGAUCCAAGUCUCCAGAUUCCUGGAGGUCUUUCCUGCUGAUUUAUUGUUUUGGAAAAUGACAAUAUUUAGCUAAAUAUUCCUGAAAACAAAAAUCUUCCCUUAAAAACGUCAUAAUGUAAAAUAAAUAUAAUCAUGUUUCUACGUUCACACUUUUUUUAUGAUUCUGUGUUUUAUUGCUGAUGGUCCCAGUGGGACUGAAACUGUAACUGUGCAUCACAACCUUGUUCUGUGUUGCUGGACACAUCUGAAGUGUUUCUGCUGGGAGGAAA